AGAAUAUUUGCAGCUCCCAAGUACAGCGCAGUCUACAUGGGGGAAAAAUGUAUUAGGACUUGAGAUCCUAGCAGAGUCAAUUCUGCUCUCUGGGACUAGAAAGAAGGGACGAGACAUGGAAGGGUUCGCGGUCAGGCAAGGGACUCAGCCUAAGACCCAGUGUCUGGCAGAAAGCCCAAGUUUCAGAUUUGUGAGAAACUGUCUGGGGGAGAGAAACAUCUUUACACUAGAUGUGAAACAGGAGGGCCUGAGGGAGGGUUGGAGAGGAGCCCAAGAAUGAGCACAGCCUGCUGCAGUCACCGGCUCCAGCCGGGGCCUCCCUUCUUCCACUCACGUGAAGCUAUUUCUAUUGUCAUUAAGCCUUAAAAAGCUGUUUGUGUAUCUGGAUGUGCACGUGUGUGUGCGCAUGUGUUUGCAGAAGUGACAUGUUUAACUUCAGGCCUGACAACGUGCCUUUGGCAGAUUCAAUGUAAAAAUUAACUUGCUCUCUGCCUCUUUUCUUUCUUUUUUUUAAGGAAUAAAACAGAACCAGAUUGAGCUUUUACACUCGAAGCCCUAAGAAAAUCAUAAAAGUGAAUUAUGGGGUGAGAAUUACUCUUUAAAGGAAAGCUUUACACUGGAGUAAACUUGGAACAUUUAUACAUAAAAUAUUACAUAUAACAUUUAUGUGUAUAAAAUCUGCUGAACUGGCCAGUUUCUGACUGUUAUAUAAACGUUAUGCAUUCGAGAAAGCA